rnacentral:misc_RNA from 1 species
AAAGGAUAAAGAUGAUGAGAAAUUCUUCCUCCACGACCAUGAGCAAAACCAAAAAGUCUAAGUCGGCAAAUCUCAGCAGAAGAUAGGGCUAACAAUAAGGAUUCAACUUUGAAAUUGAUGAGAGUCAAGACAUGAUCAUAAAGUUCACAUUAUCUUCACGUGAACAAGAAUAUUUCAAUUCAACAAAAUUCUCCCAAUUCAGAGUAAGUGACCUUAGAUAUAUUGUGACAAAUGUAGUCUUCUUACACCAUCCACAAAAUAAAUAAAUAAAUAAUAUUCCUCAUACUCAUCCCACUAUCUCAGAGAUGCAUCCUUCAUACUCAACCCACAAUGAGAGGAUGAGAAGAAAUGGAUUCAAACUGGGGAUGAAAAUUUUCUAGGGCUUAUGUUCCCCGGCUCCUGCAACAACACAAGGCAGACAUCCCUGUACUAAUCCUUUCCACGUCAAAGUGAAAUGAUUCAAUGGACUUACUUUACAAGCCCAUCUACCAAGAAGCCAAAAGCCCAAAGAUUAGAUUCUGUAUCCACCCACUAAAUAUAUUUAGGUUAUGAAGAAGACUUGGCAAUAAAUGCCAUUCGACUAUAAAUUUUUAUCAAUUGGUUUGAUCACAUAACUUGGCUCUGUAUGUACAAAGUGUUUUCUGAGGAUGAGACAUAGAAAGUGAGAAAAUGGCAAUCGAAUCUUUUUCAUGCAAGGAUAGGAAACCUGAGGCGAAGUCCUUAUGAAGCACUGAAAUACAUGGUCAAUCAUAUAUCCAUAAAACAAGUCCCCUAUGAAUUGUCAUUAUCACUGCAUUCAGAUGCCCCCUCAUCAAAAUCAGAUCCACUAUUAAAGUGUGUAUUUUCAGCUGCAUUAUUCUCCCAGGUCUUAUCACCUGCUCUUAGAAAAUCUUUCAAAUCAUCUAAAAUAUAAGGUUCCACCAGUUUCCAGAACCAUGUGGAAUCACUUCCUAAAAAGCCUAUCCAAAAAACUCUCCCUUUUCUCUUCACCCUGCAAUUGAGAGAUUUCGCUUUCAAAUUUUCAACCACCUUCGCCACCCCGUCCCUACUUCCUUUAAGCUUCAACAAGAUAUCCCCAGAUGAUGUUCUGUGCCCACCAUACAUAUACCAAUAUGCAAGAACUUGUGGUGUCAACCACCUAUUGAUUAGAUUUGGUAUCAUGGCCCGACCUUUUGGCCAAAACUGAUCUGCGUAGAAACCAAAGUAAGAGUGCGAGAUAGUAGAAAAUCUGUAAGAUACAUCACCACUACCAUCACUAAGCUUACAGGAGGGAUGUAACCACUCAUGGUAUUGGUCGUAUAAACGUCUCCUUAAAACAGAAUGUGUGCUAGAAGUCUCAUUGAACUCAAACCGAAUCUUGUGUUUCUUCCUUUCUUCAUCUGAAUCAAUUUGCAAACCACCUAGCAGCAAUCCCACUAAAAUUUCUCUCUGAUCUUUGCUUAGCUUGAGGCUUACAAGCUUCUUAACCUCUUUCCUGCUCAAGCUCAGUAUAUAGUCAAGCUUUUCCAUCAAUGAGGACUCAAUAUCAUAUUUCUUCUGGCACAUCAGAUCAUAUAUCUUCUCUGCCUUCAUAUAAUCUCCAGAAGAGAGGUACCCUUUUAGAAUAAUGUUGCAUGAUCUGGUGUCAACACCAACAGUUUCAUUACUACACAUAUGGUUGAAGGUAUCUUCUGCUUUGUGAAGAUCACCGGAUUUUACCAAAGAAUCCAGGUAUAUAUUGCAAAUAGUCAGCUUUCUCUGCAUGCCUUGAGACCUGUCAACCAAACCGGACUAUUUGCAAU